AGCCUUCUAAACCCUGCAGGAGCCUCCUGUGUUUGAUUAAAGUUCACUUUACAGAGCAGGAGAUAAAAAAAUACCCAUUUCACUGACCUCAAUAAGAAGUAGUACACUUUGCUACACAACCAGGGAGCAAAGAUAGGUGCCAAGCCACAAGUUACUGCUGGUCCCAAAUUAAUCAUAGAAACUACAAUAUUGACAUGCCAACACCAACAAAUCUUUUUAUGGGCUGAAACAGGUCGGUCUGCAUUUACUGAGUGAAGGUCAGUCCACUUACAAUUAUUUAUAUGGUGCUGACAUAUUUUGUAGUGCUGUACAAUAGGUAAAACAAUAUAUAUAAUUAAUUCUAGGUAAAAAAAGGG